UAAUUUUUUGUAUCUUUAGUAGAGACGGGGUUUCACCAUGUUGACCGGGAUGGUCUCGAUCUCUUGACCUCGUGAUCCACCCGCCUCGGCCUCCCAAAGUGCUGGGAUUACAGGCUUGAGCCACCGCGCCCGGCCGCAAGGUCCGAUUUUUAAAUCCAAUUAUAACCUCAGCUAGAAUCACAUGUUACCAGUGAUAAGAGAAAUGGUAUCAAGCCACUAAGGGGUACUGCGGCUUCUUACAGUCGCUGGAAGAAUCUCAGAUGCAUAUUGCCGAGUAAAAGACAGUAGUCUGAAAAGGCAGAGACUGUAAUGACAGUACAGCGCCCAGUGGGUGCCAGGAUGGGGGAAGGGAAGCUAAAUGGGGACACACAGGGGACUUUUCAGGCAAUGAAAUGAUUCUGUGGGCACAGGAAUGGCUUCUGGACUGGGGUGCCCUACAAAGCCGCACAGGAACCUGGAGACUCACGAAAGGGUAAAGAAGUUGGAUCAUUUACAGUAAAAGUUAAAGGCUUUCUGACUCUGAAAGUUCUACGUGCUCACUGUAAAAAGCAAAGUGACUGACAGGAGGCACAGACCUGCGCUGCCCUGAAGUCUGUGGAGUGGCCAGAGGACGUUUGAGACGGUAUGGCUCAGGUCCAGUGUCAUCGAAACGGCCUGGCUGGAGGCCUUCUGCUCGUCUGGGGUGAUGAUUGGGUGAGGACCAGUUCCCAGGAUGAAAGAGUGUCUCCCAGCCAGCCCAGGGCAUCCCACAAGCUUCUGAAAACAAGAAUCGAGAAGAGAAAGGCAUCUUACAUCCCAAAGCCGGAGCCAGGGAGCCAGGCCUCCAGAAGGUGGGGACGGCCACGUGGGGACAGAGGGUCCCUGUCUUAACAGGAGGGUAUGGGCACAGGCUGCGGCUUGCCCAGCUAAUGCCUGCUGUGGACCUGGCUGAGUGCGAGGCACAGGCCGCAUGAAGAUGACACAUGAAGGAAACACAAUAAAACUUGGACAAUAAACAGAAAUAAAGCUUAGAAUGGCACAUGUACUGAGUAUCUGCUUUGUCAUAGCCUUUUUACAUACAGCACCGAUUACUAUCACAAUAAACCCGGAAAGUAUUCACGGCCCCACUAGGAAACCCAAGGCUCAGAAAGUUCCAGAACGUCCACAAGG